CAGCCGCCGCGGUAACACCGGCAGCUCUAGUGGUAGCAAUUUUAUUGGGCCUAAAGCGUCCGUAGCCGGUUUAAUAAGUCUCUGGUGAAAUCCUGCAGCUUAACUGUGGGAAUUGCUGGAGAUACUAUUAGACUUGAGAUCGGGAGAGGUUAGAGGUACUCCCAGGGUAGAGGUGAAAUUCUGUAAUCCUGGGAGGACCGCCUGUUGCGAAGGCGUCUAACUGGAACGAUUCUGACGGUGAGGGACGAAAGUUAGGGGCGCGAACCGGAUUAGAUACCCGGGUAGUCCUAACUGUAAACGAUGCGGACUUGGUGUUGGGGUGGCUUUGAGCUGCUCCAGUGCCGAAGGGAAGCUGUUAAGUCCGCCGCCUGGGAAGUACGGUCGCAAGACUGAAACUUAAGGAAUUGGCGGGGGAGCACCACAACGCGUGGAGCCUGCGGUUUAAUUGGAUUCAACGCCGGACAUCUCACCAGAGGCGACAGCUGUAUGAUAGCCAGGUUGAUGACUUUGCUUGACUAGCUGAGAAGUGGUGCAUGG
rnacentral:rRNA from 1 species